rnacentral:ncRNA from 1 species
GUGUAGUAUGAAAAGAAAGGUUAGCACUCCUUUUGACAAUAACAGAAGAGACUCUUGGGUCUGACAACAUACCUACAGUUUGAUCUGCUCCCUAAACUGGUGUGUGU